UCGGCCUACGGGGCGCAGCAGUGGGGGACAUUGCACAAUGUAGGGAACUCUGAUGCAGCGACGCCGCGUGAGGGAAGAAGGUUUUCGGAUUGUAAACCUCUGUCUUCGGUGACGAAACGAGACGGUAGCCGAGGAGGAAGCCACGGCUAACUACGUGCCAGCAGCCGCGGUAAUACGUAGGUGGCAAGCGUUGUCCGGAAUUACUGGGUGUAAAGGGAGCGUAUGCGGGAAAGCAAGUUGAAUGUUUAAGGUACGGGCUCAACCUGUACAAGCGUUCAAAACUGUUUUUCUUAAGUGGA
rnacentral:rRNA from 1 species